rnacentral:rRNA from 1 species
GCAGUAGCCGCGGGAAUACAGAGGGUGCAAGCGUUAAUCGGAAUUACUGGGCGUAAAGCGCGCGUAGGUGGUUCGCCAAGUUGGAUGUGAAAUCCCCGGGCUCAACCUGGGAACUGCAUCCAAAACUGGCGAGCUAGAGUAUGGUAGAGGGUGGUGGAAUUUCCUGUGUAGCGGUGAAAUGCGUAGAUAUAGGAAGGAACAUCAGUGGCGAAGGCGACCACCUGGACUGAUACUGACACUGAGGUGCGAAAGCGUGGGGAGCAAACAGGAUUAGAUACCCCUGUAGUCCCUGUCUCUUAUAA